AACGAACGCUGGCGGCGUGCCUAAUACAUGCAAGUCGAACGAGAAUAUGGAGCAAUCCAUUAGUAAAGUGGCAGACGGGUGAGUAAUACGUAGGUAACUUACCCCUGAGAUGGGAAUAACCUUCCGAAAGGAGGCUAAUACCGAAUGAGACCACGGCUUCCUCGGAAGCUGAGGUUAAAGGUGACCUCUAUUUAUAAGUUAUCGCUCAGGGAUCGGCUUACGAACCAUCAGCUAGUUGGUAGGGUAACGGCCUACAAAGGCUAAGACGGUUAGCUGAUCUGAGAGGUUGAUCAGCCACACUGGAACUGAGACACGGUCCAGACUCCUACGGGAGGCAGCAGUAGGGAAUAUUGCGCAAUGGAGGAAACUCUGACGCAGCGACGCCGCGUGGGUGAUGAAGGCCUUCGGGUCGUAAAGCCCUGUCGAAAGGGAAGAAACACGGGAUGGCUAAUAUCCAUUCCGCUUGACGGUACCUUUAAAGGAAGCACCGGCUAACUACGUGCCAGCCGCCGCGGUAA
rnacentral:rRNA from 1 species